rnacentral:rRNA from 1 species
UACGUAGGGUGCGAGCGUUGUCCGGAAUUAUUGGGCGUAAAGGGCUCGUAGGCGGUUUGUCGCGUCGGGAGUGAAAACCCAGGGCUUAACUCUGGGCUUGCUUUCGAUACGGGCAGACUAGAGGUAUGCAGGGGAGAACGGAAUUCCGUGGUGUAGCGGUGAAAUGCGCAGAUAUCAGGAAGAACACCGGUGGCGAAGGCGGCUCUCUGGGCCUUACCUGACGCUGAGGAGCGAAAGCGUGGGUAGCGAACAGG